rnacentral:rRNA from 1 species
GACGAACGCUGGCGGCGUGCUUAACACAUGCAAGUCGAACGAUGAACCCGGAGCUUGCUCCGGCGGAUUAGUGGCGAACGGGUGAGUAACACGUGAGUAACCUGCCCUUGACUCUGGGAUAACUGCGGGAAACUGUAGCUAAUACCGGAUACGACCCUCGGCGGCAUCGCCAGGGGGUGGAAAGAAUUUCGGUCAAGGAUGGACUCGCGGCCUAUCAGCUAGUUGGUGAGGUAAAAGCUCACCAAGGCGACGACGGGUAGCCGGCCUGAGAGGGUGACCGGCCACACUGGGACUGAGACACGGCCCAGACUCCUACGUGAGGCAGCAGUGGGGAAUAUUGCACAAUGGGCGCAAGCCUGAUGCAGCAACGCCGCGUGAGGGAUGACGGCCUUCGGGUUGUAAACCUCUUUUAGUAGGGAAGAAGCGAAAGUGACGGUACCUGCAGAAAAAGCACCGGCUAACUACGUGCCAGCCGCCGCGGUAA